rnacentral:rRNA from 1 species
CUGGGUUUGACAUAUACCGGAAAGCCGUAGAGAUACGGCCCCCCUUGUGGUCGGUAUACAGGUGGUGCAUGGCUGUCGUCAGCUCGUGUCGUGAGAUGUUGGGUUAAGUCCCGCAACGAGCGCAACCCUUGUCUUAUGUUGCCAGCACGUAAUGGUGGGGACUCGUAAGAGACUGCCGGGGUCAACUCGGAGGAAGGUGGGGACGACGUCAAGUCAUCAUGCCCCUUAUGUCCAGGGCUUCACACAUGCUACAAUGGCCAGUACAGAGGGCUGCGAGACCGUGAGGUGGAGCGAAUCCCUUAAAGCUGGUCUCAGUUCGGAUCGGGGUCUGCAACUCGACCCCGUGAAGUCGGAGUCGCUAGUAAUCGCAGAUCAGCAACGCUGCGGUGAAUACGUUCCCGGGCCU